AUUGAACGCUGGCGGCAUGCCUUACACAUGCAAGUCGAACGGCAGCACGGGAGCAAUCCUGGUGGCGAGUGGCGAACGGGUGAGUAAUAUAUCGGAACGUGCCCAGUCGUGGGGGAUAACGCAGCGAAAGCUGUGCUAAUACCGCAUACGAUCUGAGGAUGAAAGCGGGGGAUCGCAAGACCUCGCGCGAUUGGAGGGGCCGAUAUCAGAUUAGCUAGUUGGUGGGGUAAAGGCCCGCCAAGGCGACGAUCUGUAGCUGGUCUGAGAGGACGACCAGCCACACUGGAACUGAGACACGGUCCAGACUCCUACGGGAGGCAGCAGUGGGGAAUUUUGGACAAUGGGCGCAAGCCUGAUCCAGCAAUGCCGCGUGCAGGAUGAAGGCCUUCGGGUUGUAAACUGCUUUUGUACGGAACGAAACGGCCCUUUCUAAUACAAGGGGCUAAUGACGGUACCGUAAGAAUAAGCACCGGCUAACUACGUGCCAGCAGCCGCAGUAAAAC
rnacentral:rRNA from 1 species